rnacentral:rRNA from 1 species
UGGGGAAUAUUGCACAAUGGGCGCAAGCCUGAUGCAGCCAUGCCGCGUGUAUGAAGAAGGCCUUCGGGUUGUAAAGUACUUUCAGCGGGGAGGAAGGGAGUAAAGUUAAUACCUUUGCUCAUUGACGUUACCCGCAGAAGAAGCACCGGCUAACUCCGUGCCAGCAGCCGCGGUAAUACGGAGGGUGCAAGCGUUAAUCGGAAUUACUGGGCGUAAAGCGCACGCAGGCGGUCUGUCAAGUCGGAUGUGAAAUCCCCGGGCUCAACCUGGGAACUGCAUUCGGAACUGGCAGGCUAGAGUCUUGUAGAGGGGGGUAGAAUUCCAGGUGUAGCGGUGAAAUGCGUAGAGAUCUGGAGGAAUACCGGUGGCGAAGGCGGCCCCCUGGACAAAGACUGACGCUCAGGUGCGAAAGCGUGGGGAGCAAACAGG